UUCAUGAUGAUGUCAUCAACACUGAAUGAGUGUGUUCUUAAUUAGCAUGUGCUGGGGGGGCUUACCUGAGCUGGUCCUGUGGAUGGGGCUGCUUGGAGUCAACUCGUCCCCCUGCGGCUCUGAGAGAGUGUCUUUGAGGUCAGUGGAAGGGGCGGCGUCGAUGGCUGAAGGAUCAGCGGCGCUCUGAGGUUCUGCUGCAAGCUGCUCCGUCUCAGACUGACUCUCUGUGGGAAACAGAAAUCAGAAUCGGAAUCAGAACCAGCACAAUGUCAUUUAACAUCGAUAAUGACGACAAUGUCAUCACGCAGGUAGCAAGCUGCUUUGCUACCUGCGCUCUCGUGUGAGCCUUCGUCGCCUUCUUUCUUGACGAGGACACCGUUGCGUCGCAGUGUUCUGUUUGUGACGCCGUGCUUCCUCAGCAGGUGGCGCUCACAGUUGGACUUGGUGGAGAAAAAGGCGUCGCAGCGUGGACACGGGAACGGCUUCUGGCCUGAAGAGGAUGCACACGUUGGGUCAGAGCAGAGCAAGAUGGCUGAUCACAUGGCAUUGUAGCGAGGCAAGCGUUACCAGUGUGCGUCAACAUGUGUCUCUGCAGAGAGCUGGCCCAAGGGAAGACUCGAGGACAGAAGGGACACGUCAUCUUCUGGACAGAGUUGGAGUAUGCGUUCUUCUUCCCUUUUGAUUGCGGAAGCAACACUGACGUCUUCACUUCCUCUCGUGGGCCACCGUCCUUGUCUCUGCCUCCUCCUUCUUGCUCGCCAUCUGCUCAGAGACACGUGUUAAGUCUCAGGUGUGUGUUAGGGCGUGUGUUUGAACCUUUGGCCUUUGCUCCCUCUGACCUCUCUUGGCUGCAAGUUCGCCGGCCCCCGUCUGCAGGUAGGUGCUGAACUUGUUGGCAUCUGUAGUGGCGAGCAUCUUUUCCACACUGGCAAACUCGCCGCUGGACUCGAGGUCGACAGCGCUGCUCAGAAUGUUCUGGUCCUUGAUGGCAAGGGUGGCAGUCUUCUUCCUGGUUCUCUUCCUGUUGGACAGAACCACAUGAAGCAAACACAUGACUCCAAUCAUAAACAACAUGACGAUAGUUGACAUCGAGAGUCGCUCUCUGACCUGUUGCUGUCAUCACUUGGCAUCUCCUGCAGGGUGGAGCUUCCUGGAGCGUCUGAGGUGGAUUCAGGAGCUGGUUGAGGUUUUCCCUCCAACGAGGCCGCCUCCCUCUUCAGCAGGUCUGGAGCGCCGGACACUGAGUGGAUGAUCUGAGCUAUGGAUGCCAGAGGCGGGAGCUCUUUGAGGGCAGUAGGAGGAGCAGAGGUGGAGGAGGCAGGCUUUGGAAGGAGGGGCUUGAGGCGCUGAGGUCGUGUAGAGGUGCUGAGGUUGGCGAGGGAAGUGGGGGGAGGUGUGGAUCCAGGGGUGAAUUGGUAGCAGCCCACAGGCAGCGUGCCCCCCAUCUUGUCUUCUUUGGCGACGACGUGCUGCUCGAUGAUGUUGCCGCCAUUUUGCUCCAUCUUGAUCUCCCGUUUCUCACUGACAAUGACCGCUUCCCUCCUCUGUCUCUUGCUGGGUAUGGACAGGUCAAUGGGCUGGUCCAGGGCAGGGCAGUCCAGACUAGGGGAGAGAGUCUCCAUUUUGACCCCAGGAGAUGCCACAUGGGCUCCACGACCUUUGGCAGAGAAAUCCAGAGGUUGGUCCAGUUCUUCAAGAUAAACGGUGUUAGUCACUCCCUCCAACUUGACGGCCUGGAUGGGUGGCUGACUCAGCCCGUUGGCAGUCAUCACAGUAACCGGUGGGGCACGAGCAGAGGUGACAGUGGCAGCGGGCUGAAGCGUGGCAAUGUGCUCCUCGAUCUCACGCUCCUGCACCUCGGGGUGCUGCUUGAGCAAGUGGUGGAUGCAGUUUCGCUUGGCCAGGAAGGCGGCGCCACAGCGUCUGCACUCAAAUGGCUUCCUCUGACAGCCGUUGUGCGUGCGCAAGUGGAUCUGCAAGGCCCGGUACGUCUUCAGGUCCUCGCCGCAGAACCGGCACGCAGUCUCUGCUCCGGCACUUCCUGUCCCGAUGUCCACGGCGGUGGUGCCAGUGGUGAUCGCGUUUGUGAUGAUGUUUGGAGUGGUCGAAAAGACACACUUGAUGUUUUUCUCAAUGUCCUUCCGGGAUGUCUUGGCAUGCUUCUUCCUGAGGUGGCGCUCACAGUUGGCCUUGACAGUGAAGGGAUAGUGGCAGACGCGGCAGAUGUAUGGACGCUCGCCGCUGUGUGUGCGCAAGUGUCGUAUGAGUGUGGCCUUGUCGGGGGCCACGUAGUCGCAGAUGUUGCACUGAUGAGGCAGGAUACCCAGAUGGAAGCGCAUGUGAGCCUGUAGGACGCCCGAGAAGGAGAACACCUGGUCACAGAAGCGACACGGGAAGGAGCCUUUGGCCGAACCAGCGUUGGCGGCGCUGCCGUCAUUAACUGCUUUGCUUCCUGGUUUCUUCCCACUAAGCCCCACCUCUUCAUGCACAGCGGUGGUGGCCACAGGCGGCGAAUCAGACAGAGGACACUCAGCUUCCAAGUGGCCACCACCCGCUGCUGACGAGGAGGACGAAGAGGAGGAGGAGGGCGUUUUGAAGAGGGUGGGAGUCGGGGGAGGCAGGCUUGGACUGAUGCAGCCCAGUGAGGCCUGCUGGGAACUCUGGAGAGGUGGGGGCGUUGUUGCAGUAAGGCUGGAGCGAGGCGUGAUCGGAGGCUUGGGUUUCAAUGGAGGCAUCGCCUUUUGGUUCUGGACUUGACCUGCAUGGCAGGGAAAAAAAAACAUAAAUUAAGAGAAACAAGCAUUUUAUAACAACACAAUGUCCUGAGGCCACACCCACCUUGGCCUCCAGUGAACCCUGUAGCUUUAGCUAUGGGGGGUAUGCUCAGUCCCAUCUGAUUGGGGGCUGUAGUGGCUACUUUCAGCAUUUGCUGUAUGUCUGCCAGCUCCAUGAUCCCGCCCACGUCACCAGGUUUGAUGCCAGACGUUGCUGCACCAGCGGCAGUCGUAGUUCCGUCAGGCUGCAUGAGGAAGCUCGCCUGAAAGGGCUGCAAGGAGAGCAGGCUGAGGGCGUCCCUCUUAGAGAGACCCUGCAAGGUAGACGUGGUGCCCGGCUGGUCCAGCAGGGGGAUGCUGAGUGCUGUCAGCCCGCCCACCCCCAAAGUCAGACCCAGACCACCUGACAGGUAGGCGUGCUCCUGCGGGAAACUUGAGCUCAGCGUCUCUACAUGGAUCACUUUGAUGCUGUCCAAGUGGGCCUGGUGGAUCUCAUCGUCUGUGGGUCCGGACUUGACCUGUGGGUGAAAUGAAGCAGAAGUCAGUAUUACAUCCGUUUGCCCUUACAACAGUUUUGUUUAUCGUCAAAAAGACACGCUACCUUAGAAAUGUGUUGGAGACCCAGUGCCUCCAGGAAAUUGGACUGCUGGGAAAGUAGAACAUCCUCAGCAUCACUGUGAUGCUCCUUGAUGUCAUUUUCUGUGGUGACGGCUUCUUCUUUCCCCUCAGUUUCAUGUUCGAUGGCGUCUGUGGGCGUGUCUACAUGGAUGGUGCUUUUGUGGAGCUCUAGUGCUGAGCGAAGCGGGAACGCCUUAUCGCAACACUCGCACACAAAGCGGUGGAACUUACUGACGCAGCGACGAAGGUUCGUCUCGCACCAGACCUGACCGAGACCACAAGGUGAAGACCCAUCCGACACUCAGACACAGGCAGUGAACUUAUCAAAGAUGGCAGUGGAUGGUUACCUGUGCAAUGUGAGCAAACUUCUUGCAGGAGAAAUCAAUGAAGGCCAAGUCGUUGAAGCCGGUGGGGAUGGAGGGAUUGUUCUGGAUGAAGGGGCGGCCGCUGGGGUCUUGGGGAAGGAUCUUGUGGACGCCUGCGUUGUGACGCAACAAGCCACGGUGGGUUCGAAAAGAAAGGCAGCAGAAGUCGCACCUGGAAACACAAGAACAUAUUUUCAUAUGUGGACUUCUCUAGGGGUGGGGGCUUCCUAGCUUCCUAGCUUGAAGAUGUGCUUUCAUUUUCACUGUUCAAUAUAGCCGCUAGGUGGUGAUAUUUCUCUUGAGCAAGGAUAACUAGUCUACUGUAGACGACUAAAGAAGCAGUAGUAAUCACACAGACUUUAUGCUUCUACAUAUCCAAGGAAAAAAUGUUCAAUCAACAAAGACAACCCUAAAGCACCACCUCCCCCACUACCCCAGUCACCCCCACUCCUCCCACAGUGGAUCCUCUUAUGGACUGAUUAGUGAGGAUUUACUUCUAAAUAUUCUUUACACCCUCCAUUGGGAGCUCAGCGCCACCUGCUGACCUCUUUCAUUCUACUUCCUGCUUCUCAUCUUUCCUCCUCCUUGCUCCUCAUCUAACACUUGCUCAAACUUGUGUUGACUGUUGUGUUGCUAUGGUGACAGACUACUGUCCUUGUUGCCAUUUGAGAAGGAGGGGGGUACAGAGUCGUCACAGCAACCAUGUCCAGUGGACCAUGAAAGACCCCCGCCUCCCAACACCAAUCCAUCCAUGCCGUUGAUCCUUCCCCUUCCCUCUCUGUCUGACCCUCACAGAUGGAUGAAUUUACUGUCUUUAUGGGAGGCCAGGCUCUCUUCAUGGGGGCUUGGCUGUCUCAAACCUUGUGUUGUGUUGUGUUGUGUUGUGUGUGUGUGUGUACCUCAGUGUGGUGUCAGGGUGUGUGUCCAUGUGUGUAUCCAGCUCCAGUCUGCUGCUGCAGGUCUUGAAGCAGAUGGGGCAAGGAAGAAGCUCCUCCUCCACGCAUCGGACCGCCACCGUCGUCGGCGCAGUCACUGGGGGCUCCUUAAAGGCGGAGUCCUCUGUCACCUGAAUGACAUCAUCAUCAUUUAGCUCCACCUUCGACAUGAUUAACUUUAAACUGGCAACUGUGAGAAAGCGCGCAAGGUAACCUUCUUGGAGGGUGGCUCGUCUCCGCUCUCAUCCUCCAUGCCUUGCCCCCUCUUCAUGGAUGGCCGCCGCCGCUUUGUGGGUGAGGGGGGGCUGACGGGGAGCAGACCGCUGGCCGGGUCCUUCUCGUGGAUCUUCAUGUGUCUGUUGAGAGGUAAGGAAAGAGGAACAAGGAAGCUUAUAAAGGAGGCGAGGAGACAGGCGAGUGUCUAUUAAUAGAAGCCCACAGGACCAAACAGGACGCCCAAAAGAGGUCCUGACAGCAGUCAUCACAUGUGACACCCACUAACAGGAAGUACUUUAUUCAUCAAACAGGACUAACUCCUGCUGGAAGAAACGAUGCUUCCAGGGAAGAUGGCAAAAACAAGCACGAGGCUGAGAUGAGGAAUGUUCUGCUUUAAGAAGACGUGCACGGACAAGUGCCGACAGCCUGAAGCAGUGAGGAGCAGGCCACCCCGCCUCCACGGGCCGAGCAGACGAGUGAGGCCGACAAAAGUUGCAGGAAGAGGAAGUGAGAGAGAAUCCGGCUUGACCAGAUGAGCCGAGUCAGAGCCUUCUGCCUCCAGCAUCUCCUUUUGAGCUGGAAGAGCGCAUCUCCAUGCAGAUGAGUCGCUACACGCAGACGCCAUCAUGUCUGCUCAUGCGGCAUCACGCUCCACCCUCUCUCAAAGGAACCCCAGGUAACCCCUCCACAAACAGACAAAAGCAAGGCUGGGGGCAUGCUGGUGCGCUGUGGUUGCCAUGACAACAAGUGACGUCAGCGGACAACCCCCCUCUUUCAAAACUUUGCUCUUAAGGCCAGAAAAGAGCGCAGCAUCCGUGACUUUAAAGGUUGAUCCUGCAAGAAAGCAACCUGAAGUAUCGCGAGAUUUUCAGCGAGGAAGGUAUAAGGAUGAUGCUAACGUCAGGCCUUGUUUUAAGCUAUGCUUUGUUAGCUUAGCGGGUAGCUUCAAACGCACACCUUGUCUUCUUGACUCAGGUAUUGUUUUAAAACAAUUUAAUCCCACUUGUUCUACCUUGACGUCAUCACCUUUACACCUGCCUCUCGUUUGGGGUCCAUUUCAAGAAAUGAUGCCUCCCCUCCAUCUCCCGCCAGGCCUCUUCCCAUCAUGCCCUGCUGUUCCUGCUGAUGAAGAUGACGACGACGACGACAAAGGUGGAUACAUAACUUGAAGAGGUCAAGCGAGCAUUGUGUAAAAUGUAAAUAAGUGGCAUGUGUCACAAACUGAUUUAGCGUACAGUUUAAAUAGUGAAACUAGGUUAGUUAGCUAGCAAACUGGUGUCGGCAUGCUUAUACAGUUUUAAUAGCAUUUGCAUUUAGAAAAUGUUAUGGACCUUUGAGCAUUUUAGCUAGCACAGCUUGAGCUCUUGUUGUUUUGUGAUGA